GACAGAGGUGCCAAGCGUUAGGCGGAAUCACUGGGCUUAAAGCGUGUGUAGGCGGAUGCCUAAGUACCUUGUGAAAUCCCACGGCUCAACCGUGGAACUGCUGGGUAUACUGGGCGUCUUGAGCCAGCUAGGGGCGACCGGAACAAACGGUGGAGCGGUGAAAUGCGUAGAUAUCGUUUGGAACGCCGAUGGUGAAAACAGGUCGCUGGGGCUGCGCUGACGCUGAGACACGAAAGCCAGGGGAGCGAACGGG
rnacentral:misc_RNA from 1 species